AGAGUUUGAUCAUGGCUCAGGACGAACGCUGGCGGCGCGCUUAACACAUGCAAGUCGAGCGAUAUCCGGUCCUUCGGGACCGGGGACAGCGGCGAACGGGUGAGUAACACGUGGGUAAUCAACCCCUGACACUGGGAUAGCCCGGGGAAACCCGGAUUAAUACCGGAUGGCCCAGCAGCCCCUCGGGGCGGUUGGAAAAGGUAGCUUCGGCCUCCGGUCAGGGACGAGCCCGCGGCGGAUUAGCUUGUUGGUGAGGUAACGGCUCACCAAGGCGACGAUCCGUAGCUGGUCUGAGAGGACGAUCAGCCACACUGGGACUGAGAUACGGCCCAGACUCCUACGGGAGGCAGCAGUGGGGAAUCUUGCACAAUGGGCGAAAGCCUGAUGCAGCGACGCCGCGUGAGGGAAGAAGGCUUUCGGGUUGUAAACCUCUUUCAGAAGGGACGAAGCCACUCAGGUUAAUAGCCGAGAGGGUGACGGUACCUUCAGAAGAAGCCCCGGCUAACUACGUGCCAGCAGCCGCGGUAAUACGUAGGGGGCAAGCGUUGUCCGGAUUUAUUGGGCGUAAAGAGCGUGUAGGCGGCUAGGUAGGUCCGUUGUGAAAACUCGAGGCUCAACCUCGAGACGCCGAUGGAAACCAUCUGGCUAGAGUCCGGAAGAGGAGAGUGGAAUUCCUGGUGUAGCGGUGAAAUGCGCAGAUAUCAGGAAGAACACCCGUGGCUAAGGCGGCUCUCUAGUACGGUACUGACGCUGAGACGCGAAAGCGUGGGGAGCGAACAGGAUUAGAUACCCUGGUAGUCCACGCCGUAAACGAUGGGUGCUAGGUGUGG
rnacentral:rRNA from 1 species